UUAAAUUGAAGAGUUUGAUCAUGGCUCAGAUUGAACGCUGGCGGCAGGCCUAACACAUGCAAGUCGAACGGUAACAGGAAGCAGCUUGCUGCUUUGCUGACGAGUGGCGGACGGGUGAGUAAUGUCUGGGAAACUGCCUGAUGGAGGGGGAUAACUACUGGAAACGGUAGCUAAUA
rnacentral:rRNA from 2 species